GCCACUGGCCAUCCUCUAGACUACACAUUGCCUGAACAUCUUGCAGAAUAUCGUGUUUCUAGAACUCUGUAGGAAGCAAACUGCAGAAAAUGAUUUAUUCUCACGGCAAGCUGUAAAUAGCACAAUAUAUCUUGACAUCUUUCAAGGAUCCACCAUCCUCUGAAUUCUACAUGACAGCUGUCCAAGAAAACAGUGCCAUGAUGACUACUCUAUACCCGAUACUAGGUGGAGUUACAGGUCACAUUACAGUGCCUAAAUCUAGUGGGGGUUUUUUGUUUGUUUUUUUAAGAGUUCUACAAUCCUGGCACCUUUGGCAUUCCAUAUACCUGGGACAACAGUACCCAGAAUGCCAUGCCAGCUAGUCACAGAUAUUCCGGUACCAGGGAUCUGAUUGAGACUCAAUGACACUCAAGAGUGAGUCAUCCUGUAUCAAUAGCAGAUUGCCCUACAAUAAAUGUCAUUAUCACACA